GUGCUUGCCUCAACAGCAUACAGAACUAUGGUAGAAUAAUACAGAAAAGAUUAGCAUGGUUCCUGUCCAAGGAGGACACAAAUCUUUGAAGGGUUUCAUAUUUUU
ensembl:snRNA U6 U6 spliceosomal RNA